rnacentral:rRNA from 1 species
UACGGAGGGUGCAAGCGUUAUCCGGAUUCACUGGGUUUAAAGGGUGCGUAGGUGGGCAAGUAAGUCAGUGGUGAAAUCUCCGGGCUUAACCCGGAAACUGCCAUUGAUACUAUUUGUCUUGAAUACUGUGGAGGUCAGCGGAAUAUGUCAUGUAGCGGUGAAAUGCUUAGAUAUGACAUAGAACACCAAUUGCGAAGGCAGCUGGCUACACAAAUAUUGACACUGAGGCACGAAAGCCAGGGGAGCGAACGGG